UGGGGAAUAUUGGACAAUGGGCGAAAGCCUGAUCCAGCCAUGCCGCGUGUGUGAAGAAGGUCUUCGGAUUGUAAAGCACUUUAAGUUGGGAGGAAGGGCAUUAACCUAAUACGUUAGUGUUUUGACGUUACCGACAGAAUAAGCACCGGCUAACUCUGUGCCAGCAGCCGCGGUAAUACAGAGGGUGCAAGCGUUAAUCGGAAUUACUGGGCGUAAAGCGCGCGUAGGUGGUUUGUUAAGUUGGAUGUGAAAUCCCCGGGCUCAACCUGGGAACUGCAUUCAAAACUGACUGACUAGAGUAUGGUAGAGGGUGGUGGAAUUUCCUGUGUAGCGGUGAAAUGCGUAGAUAUAGGAAGGAACACUAGUGGCGAAGGCGACCACCUGGACUAAUACUGACACUGAGGUGCGAAAGCGUGGGGAGCAAACA
rnacentral:rRNA from 1 species